rnacentral:rRNA from 1 species
GGCGCAGGCGGUUUGUUAAGUCUGAAGUGAAAGCCCGGGGCUCAACCUCGGAAUGUCUUUGGAUACUGGCGAACUAGAGUACGGGAGAGGAGAGUGGAAUUCCUGGUGUAGCGGUGAAAUGCGUAGAUAUCAGGAGGAACACCGGUGGCGAAAGCGGCUCUCUGGCCCGAUACUGACGCUGAGGCCCGAAAGCGUGGGGAGCGAACA